rnacentral:miRNA from 1 species
UUAAAUAACCGAUCUUAAAAGUACUUUUAAGAUCGGUUAAAUUUUAACCGAUCUUAAAAGUGCUACUUUUAAAAUCGGUUAUCUUA